rnacentral:ncRNA from 1 species
AAAGCUUAUUGCGGAAGCAAUUUCUAUUUUGCCGUAAUUUCAUAUAUUAAUAAAUAUAAUAAGUUUGAUUCUAGCUUUAAUAUUAAUUUUUUUAAAUUAAUUAUAUGUUUAUUUUGUAAAAUUUUAUAUUAACAGUAAUUUGUUUUAUUAAAAUUUUUAUUUUUUAUUAGAAAUUUAAUAAAAUUGGAUUAAUUUUGUGCCAGCAUUCGCGGUUAUACAAAAUCAUUUAAGUUAAUAUUUUUGUUUAUUAUAUUUAUGAAUUUAUAUGAUUAUAAUUUUUAUAUAUUUAGGUGGAAUUUAUAUUUAAAUUAUUGUUCUGUUAUUAUUAUAUUAAGUAUAACAAGUAAACUAGGAUUAGAUACCCUAUUAUUUUUUAUUUAAAUUUUAUAUACUGAAUAUUAAUAGUUAAGUUCUAUAAAACUCAAAGAAUUUGGCGGUAAUUUAUCUUUAUAGAGGAACCUGUAUUUUAAUUGAUAAACCACAAUAAUUUUUACCUAAAUGUUAUUUGUAUAUCGCUAUAAUUUUAAGAGUAUUUUAUAAAGGAAUAUUCUUUUAUUAUAAAAAUAUAUAUUAGGUCAAGGUGCAGUUUUAUUUAGGUAAAUAUGGGUUACAUUAUUUAUAUUUAUAUUCAAUUUAAAUUAUUCUUAAUUUUUGUUAGAAAGGAUUUAUUAGUAAUUUGAAUUAAUUAAUUUUUUUGAAAUUUUGCUUCUAAAUUAUGUACAUAUCGCCCGUCACUCCUAAUUAUAUUAGGAUAAGUCGUAACAAAGUAGUUGUACCGGAAGGUGUAUCUAGAAUGUA